rnacentral:lncRNA from 1 species
CCUCAACAGCUCACCCACUAAGUCUACAGAAAGUAUCCUCACUGAUAGUAAAGGAAGCUGGAAAACUCUACAGCUACAUGUCCCUAUACUAUCGCUAACCAACAUUAGCUAUUUGUAGAUAUAAGCAAUAUGCAAUCUCUGACCCAAUCUCACUAAGGACUUUGAACACAUCCGUCCCGCCUGUCGAAACUACACCAACCACCACCACGCUAGAUUGUUGGUGGAGAGCAAGUCCAACCAGGACACUACGACAUAUACUCAAACGCACAAAGCCCGACUUCGGAGUUGCACUCGUAGGCGCUACCUAACCGAGUAUGCAAGCGUGUCUCUGCCGAGCUCAAUCAGGCUCUCACAGGCUAUAGUCAAAGCAAGUAGGUCUAACUGGUCUAACAAUCAAAACUCACGUGCCCUUGGCACAAUCCGAUGCAAAAACAGCAAACUGGGUCCACCGUCAACUGCGACGGCACCCGACAGUACAGAACAGUCUAUACACUACUGUAAAAUAAACUCGGCAUCUGAGCACGAGCGUAAACUCAUCCUACACUAAUCUGGAUAUCCACCGCAUACAAAUUGUGGCGAUACAAACAAACUAUAACUCCUAAAGCUAAAUUUGGUAGUUUUCAGAAAAUGAUAGUGUAGG